UACGGGGGGGGCAAGCGUUGUUCGGAAUUACUGGGCGUAAAGGGCUCGUAGGCGGCCAACUAAGUCAUACGUGAAAUCCCUCGGCUUAACCGGGGAACUGCGUCUGAUACUGGAUGGCUUGAGUUCGGGAGAGGGAGUGCGGAAUUCCAGGUGUAGCGGUGGAAUGCGCAGAUAUCAGGAGGAACACCGGUGGCGAAGGCGGCAUCCUGGACUGGUCCUGACACUCAGGAGCGAAAGCCGUGGGGAGCGAUCCGG
rnacentral:rRNA from 1 species